GAUGAACGCUAGCUACAGGCUUAACACAUGCAAGUCGAGGGGAAACGCUGAGAGAGCUUGCUCUCUUAGGCGUCGACCGGCGCACGGGUGAGUAACGCGUAUCCAACCUACCCAUUACAGGGGGAUAACCUUGCGAAAGUAAGACUAAUACCCCAUGGCAUUUUAUGGUGGCAUCAUUAUAGGAUUAAAGAUUUAUUGGUAAUGGAUGGGGAUGCGUCUGAUUAGCUUGUUGGCGGGGUAACGGCCCACCAAGGCAACGAUCAGUAGGGGUUCUGAGAGGAAGGUCCCCCACAUUGGAACUGAGACACGGUCCAAACUCCUACGGGAGGCAGCAGUGAGGAAUAUUGGUCAAUGGGCGAGAGCUUGAACCAGCCAAGUAGCGUGCAGGAUGACGGCCCUAUGGGUUGUAAACUGCUUUUAUAGGGGAAUAAAGUGAGCUACGUGUAGUUUAUUGCAUGUACCCUAUGGAUAAGGACCGGCUAAUUCCGUG
rnacentral:rRNA from 1 species